AACGAACGCUGGCGGCAGGCCUAACACAUGCAAGUCGAGCGAGACCUUCGGGUCUAGCGGCGGACGGGUGAGCAACGCGUGGGAAUAUGCCCUUUGGUACGGAAUAGCCUCGGGAAACUGAGAGUAAUACCGUAUGUGCCCUUCGGGGGAAAGAUUUAUCGCCAAAGGAUUAGCCCGCGUUGGAUUAGGUAGUUGGUGGGGUAAUGGCCUACCAAGCCUACGAUCCAUAGCUGGUUUGAGAGGAUGAUCAGCCACACUGGGACUGAGACACGGCCCAGACUCCUACGGGAGGCAGCAGUGGGGAAUCUUAGACAAUGGGGGCAACCCUGAUCUAGCCAUGCCGCGUGAGUGAUGAAGGCCUUAGGGUUGUAAAGCUCUUUCAGCUGGGAAGAUAAUGACGGUACCAGCAGAAGAAGCCCCGGCUAACUCCGUGCCAGCAGCCGCCGCAGUAA
rnacentral:rRNA from 1 species